rnacentral:rRNA from 1 species
UACAGGGGGGGCAAGCGUUGUUCGGAAUUACUGGGCGUAAAGGGCCAGUAGGCGGCCAACUAAGUCACACGUGAAAUCCCCAGGCUUAACCUGGGAACUGCGUGUGAUACUGGAUGGCUUGAAUUCGGGAGAGGGAUGCAGAAUUCCAGGUGUAGCGGUGAAAUGCGUAGAUAUCUGGAGGAACACCGGUGGCGAAGGCGGCAUCCUGGACCAAUACUGACACUGAGGAGCGAAAGCCAGGGGAGCAAACGGG